UACGGAGGGUGCAAACGUUGCUCGGAAUCAUUGGGCGUAAAGCGCACGUAGGCGGCUAGAUAAGUCGGGUGUGAAAGCCCUGGGCUCAACCCAGGAAAGUGCAUUCGAAACUGUCUAGCUUGAAUCUCGGAGGGGGUCAGAGAAUUCCCGGUGUAGAGGUGAAAAUUCGUAGAUAUCGGGAGGAAUACCAGUGGCGAAGGCGCUGACCUGGACGAAGAUUGACGCUGAGGUGCGAAAGCGCGGGGAGCAAACAGG
rnacentral:rRNA from 1 species